AAUUCGGCAUCGGCGAGUACGCAUGUCUAUGCACCGAUUUGAUACCAUCAUUUAUUAACCCGGAGAAAAAUCAACUCGUUUAACCGGAAAUCAGUUCCGCACGUUCAGGUAUUGGAAUCGGUAUCUGGAAGGAAAAAAUGGUAUCGGAACAUCUCUACAGAUAAUUGU